ACCGCCGUCACCGUUGUCAUUGAGGCGCCAGAGGAGAGAGAGAUUUACUUUGCAGAGGCGUUGAGGGAGACAGACGUGACGCGAGGAAGAGGAGCUUGUCUUCGUUGCCGCCGUCGCCAUGCCUUGCCGCCGCUGCCGUUGAUGGAAAACUCCACCGUCGUUGGGAGGAACCAAACAGGGAGAGGAGGUCACCGUUGAUGCUACCGCAGAAAGGAAGGAAGCAACGUAUGUGAGGAAGUGAUGCAACAGAGGAGGAGCCGUUCCUCUGCCGCCACUGAAAUUCCUUGUCGCUGCCGGAAUUCAUGGUGAGUUAAUCGUGCCUAGCUACCAUAAUCACCAACCUCUGAACCUUAUUUGCUCUGUAACAACCCUGCGCUUGCUUCUGAUGUUCUUGACUAUGUUGGGUUUCCUGGAAUUAUCACGGUUGAAGCUUCUCACCAGAGAAGACAAGUUGUUGCGCCAUCCUUUUCAUUCUGACAUCGAUUCUCCCGUUCAAAACCCUGUAACGCUUUCACUCUUGUUCUGUUUAGCAUUGUUUCUCUGUUAUAUUUUUAUUUCAAUUACGGUAGCCAAUAUCUUUGUUUUAGUACUGCUGUGUUCUACUGGAAAUAUCAAAAUUGUUGCUGCUAGUGUGAUCAUAGUUGGUGCCGCUGUCUCUACCCCGGUUACGUUGGAAUUGUCCCUGCUACUGCCACGAUUGGGGAUAAAGGGACUUUUUGCAUUAAAUUAUGCGAUUGCUUCAUCGAGAAGCCCGCAGUUGGAGGAAGCUCGUGUCGCCGUCUUUCUCACCGUUGCCAGAGAAGCCCGAGGAGACGGGGAGACAGAACACGAAAGAUGCCAUCCGCGUCACUUCUUUGUGUAUUUUGUUCCGUCUUUUGCGCGCUGAUUCCCUUUUGUUGGUUUUCUGUGGUUGUCAAAGUUCAAACCUUUCUCUGAUUUGGAUGGAUCUAGUUCCAGUUUCUCAGAAUUUGGUCUUUUGGGGUGUCGAGGAUACUUGAAUGUCACUGAUUCUACCUCAAAGGUUUCUUCUUUUGUUCAUUCUUCAAUUGACGGAAUAGCUUCUGGAUUUUUGUUUUUUCUUUUUUGUCGUUUGUUUGAUUUAUGCUAUUUUGGUUUCACUGGAAAUACAAAAAGGGGGUUUCUGUUAUCUUUGAAGGAAAAUUGAUUGGGGGUGUUCUACUAUUCUCAGUUGAGGGUUGACUAUUGUCAAUUUACCUUCAAAAAGAGUGGUUUGAGUUGAAGUUAAUUAAUUAACUUCUAUUCAAAGGUAGGUACAACAGCUUUGAUAAUCCCUUAGAAUCAUAUGACACAAAAAUAAAAGUUUCAUUAAUGGUAUACUUUUAAUAAACUUUACAAUUUUGUGAUCAUAUUUUUGUUGACUUGCUGUGUUCUAUGGUGCAUACCGAACAAAAAGCUCAAAGUAUUGCUUUAGAAUUACUUUUGGUUGAUUAAAUCGUACAAUUAGUUACAAAAUAUCAUAUUAAAUUCAUUGUAGAUCCUAUACUAACUCUUUCUAAUAUGAAAUUGUUUGCUGCCAUGUGCUUACUAUGUAUAGUUUGGUUGAUAUAAUUAGAUCUUUAGAAUUACUUUUGGUUGAUUAAAUUGUUUGCUGCUGAACAUAUCACUGAGCUUUAGUUUUGAAAGGCAGAAUGGAGAUGUACCCCCAAGUGAGUUAAAUACUUCUGCAAUAAAUAAUUCAUGUCAAUGCUAUUUCCUGUGCUUGCCAAAUUGGUUUUGUUGAUAAAUAGUUGUUGAGUUUCUUUGGUAAUAUAUAUUGUAUCUCUUUAAGUACUUUAUAUUGUUUUAUGAUGUGUCAUAUACUAUGAUGUGGAUGUGUAUUGUAUAGUGUGUACUAGCUAUUAUAUGUGUGAUGUAUAUAUAUUUUAAUGAUAUGUUCUUUUUUCCUAAGUUGAAGAAGAAUAAAUGUAGGUGUUUAUAUCUAAUGUGACUUUACUUUGC